UACGGAGGGGGCUAGCGUUGUUCGGAAUUACUGGGCGUAAAGCGCACGUAGGCGGCUUUGUAAGUUAGAGGUGAAAGCCCGGGGCUCAACUCCGGAACUGCCUUUAAGACUGCAUCGCUAGAAUUGUGGAGAGGUAAGUGGAAUUCCGAGUGUAGAGGUGAAAUUCGUAGAUAUUCGGAAGAACACCAGUGGCGAAGGCGACUUACUGGACACAUAUUGACGCUGAGGUGCGAAAGCGUGGGGAGCAAGCAGG
rnacentral:rRNA from 1 species